GCCUAGCCAUAAACAUUGACAGUUUAUUACAUUUUCUGUCCGCCUGGGAACUACGAGCACUAGCUUAAAACCCAAAGGACUUGGCGGUGCUUUAGACCCACCUAGAGGAGCCUGUUCUAGAACCGAUAAUCCCCGUUCAACCUCACCCUUCCUUGCCUAUCCCGCCUAUAUACCACCGUCGUCAGCUUACCCUGUGAAGGACAAAAAGUAAGCAAAACUGGCACCACCCAGAACGUCAGGUCGAGGUGUAGCGAAUGGAGGGGGAAGAAAUGGGCUACAUUCCCUUGUUUACAGGGAACCACGAAUAGUGUACUGAAAACGUACACUUGAAGGAGGAUUUAGCAGUAAGAGGAAACUAGAGCGUUCCACUGAAGUCGGCUCUUAAGCGCGC
rnacentral:rRNA from 1 species